rnacentral:rRNA from 1 species
CUAGAAAAACUUAGCGGCGAACGGGUGAGUAACACGUAAAGAACCUGCCUCAUAGACGGGGACAACUAUUGGAAACGAUAGCUAAUACCGGAUAACAGCAUAAAUCGCAUGAUAUAUGUUUAAAAGUUGGUUUCGGCUAACACUAUGAGAUGGCUUUGCGGUGCAUUAGCUAGUUGGUGGGGUAAAGGCCUACCAAGGCGACGAUGCAUAGCCGACCUGAGAGGGUGAUCGGCCACACUGGGACUGAGACACGGCCCAGACUCCUACGGGAGGCAGCAGUAGGGAAUCUUCCGCAAUGGGCGAAAGCCUGACGGAGCAACGCCGCGUGAGUGAAGAAGGAUUUCGGUUCGUAAAGCUCUGUUGUUAGGGAAGAAUGAUUGUAUAGUAACUAUAUACAGUAGAGACGGUACCUAACCAGAAAGCCACGGCUAACUACGUGCCAGCAGCCGCGGUAAUACGUAGGUGGCAAGCGUUGUCCGGAAUUAUUGGGCGUAAAGCGCGCGCAGGUGGUUUAAUAAGUCUGAUGUGAAAGCCCACGGCUCAACCGUGGAGGGUCAUUGGAAACUGUUAAACUUGAGUGCAGGAGAGAAAAGUGGAAUUCCUAGUGUAGCGGUGAAAUGCGUAGAGAUUAGGAGGAACACCAG